CUGGGAGCAGCAGUUGCUGGCG
rnacentral:miRNA from 1 species